rnacentral:rRNA from 1 species
GAUGAACGCUGGCGGCGUGCCUAAUACAUGCAAGUCGAGCGAACAGAUAAGGAGCUUGCUCCUUUGAAGUUAGCGGCGGACGGGUGAGUAACACGUGGGUAACCUACCUAUAAGACUGGGAUAACUUCGGGAAACCGGAGCUAAUACCGGAUAACAUUUAGAACCGCAUGGUUCUAAAGUGAAAGAUGGUUUUGCUAUCACUUAUAGAUGGACCCGCGCCGUAUUAGCUAGUUGGUAAGGUAACGGCUUACCAAGGCGACGAUACGUAGCCGACCUGAGAGGGGGGGGGGGCGACAUGGGAGUGUGACACGCCACAAGAGUCCAGGGGGAGGGACAAGAGGGAAACGGGCGGGAGGGGUGGAAAACCUGGCAGAAAAGGCGGGAGGGAGAAGCAGAGGUUUCGGGUGAGGAAAACCGGUUUUUGGGGGAAAAACAAAUGUGAGAAUAGAAGAACCGAACGUGACGGUACCUAAAGAAAAAGCCACGGCUAACUACGGG